rnacentral:misc_RNA from 1 species
GAUGAAGAACGUAGCGAAAUGCGAUAAGUAAUGUGAAUUGCAGAGUUCAGUGAAUCAUCGAAUCUUUGAACGCACAUUGCGCCCGCCAGUAUUCUGGCGGGCAUGCCUGUUCGAGCGUCAUUUCAACCAUCAAGCCCCCCGGCUUGUGUUGGGGACCUGCGGCUGCCGCAGGCCCUGAAAAGCAGUGGCGGGCUCGCUGUCACACCGAGCGUAGUAGAUCUCAUCUCGCUCAGGGCGUGCUGCGGGUUCCGGCCGUUAAACCACCUUCAUAACCCAAGGUUGACCUCGGAUCAGGUAGGAAGACCCGCUGAACUUAAGCAUAUCAAUAAGCGGAGGA